UUUUGUGGCAUAAAUUAAGAAAGGAGCCGGAAUGAAAUUUUACAAAAUAAAAUAAAAAAUUUGCUCCCGCUACUCACUCCCUCUCUCCCACCCCCUCCCCCCACAACUUUUUCUAUUCUCCAUCAUAACCACCACAUCCAUCAGCAUUUCCCCUCUUCUUCCCUUUUCUUUCCACCGGCAACCGCUCCUUCCUCACUUUCUCACCGGAAAAGUGGCGAAGCAAGGGAGAAAGGAGGCGUCACCAGCUACUACCUCUGGUACAGCCCCUUGCCAGUGUUUUCUAGCCAAACUGAUGCUGGAUUUGGAUUUACUGCCCCUAAAGCCAUAAGACAGCCCCUCCUUGCCAUCGGACAGCCAUUGGAGAGCUCAUCCAUGCCUCACCGGAGCCGAAAAUUUCCGGCCUCGAUCUGGUGGUUUCCGAUGAGUUCCAGGCAGAAAAUAAUUGCAUAAUUGGAUUCAGCGCGUCGCAAGCUUCGCAUAGGUAUUUUUGGAUUCAAAUUUUGACACUGUCGACGGUAUCGACUUUCGGACUCUAUGUUUUCUGGACGGGUCUUUUGCAGUUCUUCUCCUUCGGCAGCCCAACUUUUGUAUCCUUUAGGUUUUAAUGUAAUAAAUUUUAUUUGCAUGACUGACUAUUAAGAAUAUAGAUUUUCCGCAGUUGUGAUUCUAAAGCUUAUUAUUUAUUUUGGUAUGUUAAACCAACCAAGAAGGUAAUACCUAAUGGUGCCGACGAAUCUAUUAAAUGUGUAAUAUUUGUGUGGUUGAAUGUUAGUAAUGAAAUAUUGACAUAAUAAAUAAAAAUUAUAUUUAAUU